CCCCAAACACACUCAGUUUCUAAUCCUUAAAACCUGUGAAGGUUACUUUACUUGACAGAAGAGACUGCAAAUAUUAUUAAGUUUAGCAUCUUGAGGUGGAGAAGCUUAGGCUGAAUUGCCUGGGUGGGGCCUAAAUGGAAUCGUAUGUGUCCUUGUCAGAGGGAGAUGUGUAGGGUAGAGAAGGAGACCACAUGACAGAAGCCAGGGGAGGCAGAGUCAGGGAGAAGGAGGCAGAGUCAGGGAGAAGGUGCCAAACACUGGCAUUCAGGAUGGAGGACGGGUCCCAGGCCAGAGAAUCAAGGCAGGCACUAGAAGCUGGAAAGGGAAAGGGAAUGAGUUUCUCCCUUAGAGACCCUGGAAGAAAUGCAGCCCUGCCAACACCUUGAUUGUGGCUCAGCAAAAUCCAUUUUGGACUUCUGGCUUUUAGAACGAUAAGAAAAUUAAUUUGUGUUGUUUUGAGGCACCACAUUUGUGGCAAUUUGUCGGAGCAGCCCUAGGAACCCAACACAGAUGACUCCCAGAAUUUCAUUUUGAGCACAAGUGAUGCCUUCAACCUGAGAAGGAAAUCCUGGACAUUCCCAACGUUUCCAGGGGCCUGAGAAACGUUUGGAUUUAUAUAGAAGAGAAAAUAUCAGAUAUGAGAUAUCAUAUUCAAAGAGAGGGAAGUAGAAGGAAAUAGAAUUCUCUCAGACAGAACUGACUUCAAAUGACUGGCGUCUCCAUCUUUUCUUCCCAUCCCAUCUCAUCCCAUCCCAUCCUCACAGUCUCCAAAAAACAGGUCUUUCUCACCUGCUGUGCUGGACGCGGCUAUCUGAGAUAGAAACAGUAACUCUCUGGCUUGUAUCCAGUCCAUGAGGCUGGGGAAGGUGAGAAGAAAUUACGAACAGAUGCCAUCCUUUGACCUCCCAUGUUUUCUUCCUCCUAUGUGAACACAGUACCAAAAUCUUCUUGCUUCAACAAAAAUAGCAAAUUGACUACCUCCUAUAUCCUCCCCACUAUUUCAUUUACUUCCUUAACCCUCAAAAGUCUGGGCAUGGUUAUUACUAUUUACAGGUUAUGUAUAAGGAAACAGACUCAGAGGUGUUAGGUAACUUGCCCAAGGUCACACAGCUAACAAGGAAUUAGAUAUGAAUUUUGUCCCAGGUCUAUGUGACUCCAAAUCCACUGCUUAUUUUAUUAUCACACUGCCUAUUAAGUUACAAGCACCAGUACCUUGUGACAAAAAUGAACUCCUUCUAAUAUGAGCCUUUUUAAUAGAGAAGUUCCAGGGAACAGAACGUCACCAGGGCCACACUGUCAUUGUGGUUUACACUUCCCAUGAACUCUUUCCAAUAAACAUUUCAUUUAAAUUUAAUAAAGUAGUUAAUAAAGCCAUAAAGGUUAAUUACUAGUUAAGGGAAAAAUAUGACUUCACAUUGGUGAACAUGUGAAAAAUGAAUCAACUUCAUUUUGCCAUUAACCUAGGAUUAUACAGGCAAUAAAGCAUAAUUAUGGAUUUAACAUGUUAAUUCCCAGUGGAUUUAAUAGCAGUGCUGUGAGAUACAUGACCAAUCGCUAACCCAUCUGACAAGCCUCAGACAGAACUAAUCAAAAUUAAAUCACUUGGCCCACAUGUGGAUGCAAUAUAUCUUUCAAGAUGAAAUGACUAUAAUUUUUCAUUGUGGAGUUAUUAUAAAUGCCUCAGGAUAGGGCGAAAUGAAGAGACAGGAAAAGUGGGGGACAUAAUCUGUGAUCUCAAUCUGACAUUUACUCUGGUAGCUACGUUAGAAGAAAAUAACUUUUUUCCCCCCAUAAAUUUAAGGUUCUCUGCAGGGUUUUAUUGCUCACUCUAAUGGUUCAUGAUUUACCUAUAAUUUGUAGAAUAAAUCAAUGCAUCCACAUCCCUUAAAAUUUUUAUACCUUUUUUCCUUUGCCUUUCCAAAAAUAAUAUAUUGGCAGUCAGCCCUUUGUGACACUAAGAUUCUAUAUUUCAACAACUGUGUUUCAUCAGUGAGACCAAUUCUUAAGAAGCAGAAUCUUAAAAUAACACUGUAUUUCACUUACCAUGAUUUGUACCACCUGGUAACCAUAAAAGAAAAGUUCUUACUACUUGAAGAAAAGCAGUCUGAAAAUGAUGGACUAUGGGCCAAAUCUGGCCCACCAACUAUUUUUGUAAAUAAAGUUUUAUUGGCAU